GGAAUUUUCCGCAAUGGGCGAAAGCCUGACGGAGCAACGCCGCGUGAGGGAUGAAGGCCUCUGGGCUGUAAACCUCUUUUCUCAAGGAAGAGGACCUGACGGUACUUGAGGAAUAAGCCACGGCUAAUUCCGUGCCAGCAGCCGCGGUAAUACGGGAGUGGCAAGCGUUAUCCGGAAUUAUUGGGCGUAAAGCGUCCGCAGGUGGCCCUGUAAGUCUGUCGUUAAAGCGUGGAGCUUAACUCCAUUUAAGCGAUGGAAACUACAGGGCUAGAGUGUGGUAGGGGCAGAGGGAAUUCCCGGUGUAGCGGUGAAAUGCGUAGAUAUCGGGAAGAACACCAGUGGCGAAGGCGCUCUGCUGGGCCAUCACUGACACUCAUGGACGAAAGCCAGGGGAGCGAAAGGGAUUAGAUACCCCUGUAGUCCUGGCCGUAAACGAUGAACACUAGGUGUCGGGGGAAUCGACCCCCUCGGUGUCGUAGCCAACGCGUUAAGUGUUCCGCCUGGGGAGUACGCACGCAAGUGUGAAACUCAAAGGAAUUGACGG
rnacentral:rRNA from 1 species